UAAAGAGUAAGGAUCACAAUCUGCUUGCAUAUGCAUAAGGGGGACCAUAGACCAGAGAUUCGGGGCUGCCCAAGCUGCGCCUGACUAAAAAUUCCUCGGGCUUGAAGGCCUCAGAGCCCCGCAAUUUUAUUCAAGUCCAUAUGAAGUUUAUAAACUAUCUUUUGUAGCGGAUACUAGGGGAAGAGUGCCCUAGAGUAGCCCCACUUUGGGCUUAUAUGUCAGGCGUCUGCGGCGGACAGCCCGACUCCGGACGGGGUCCUUGGGCCGCUCGACUAGAAGACGAAGGGGGCGUCUCCCCAGCUUCUGCGGCGUCGGCGGCGAGCUAAGGUGGAGGAAGGCGGCGGCGGCGGCGGCGGCGGCGACGGUGACAGUGGCGGCAGCACCAUGGAGGGGCUCGCAGGAUCCUUGCUGCCUUGGUGAUCCCAGGCUGACAGCCAGAGAGCACAGCGGCUCAGCUCCUGGAGAGAGAGUCGAAGAAAACGGAGGGUAGCCACCUGUGCCUGCUGGCUCCCAUUAGGUCGGUUCCUGCAGCGGUGCCUGGCAGCCUUGGUGAAGGCCCUGCCCGACAGAGAUCAUGUAUUGCCUCCAGUGGCUGCUGCCCGUCCUCCUCAUCCCCAAGCCCCUCAACCCCGCUCUGUGGUUCAGCCACUCCAUGUUCAUGGGCUUCUACCUGCUCAGCUUCCUUCUGGAGCGGAAACCUUGCACAAUAUGUGCCUUGGUUUUCCUGGCAGCCCUCUUCCUCAUCUGUUAUAGCUGCUGGGGAAAUUGUUUCCUGUACCACUGCUCCGAUUCCCCACUUCCGGAGUCCGCCCACGACCCUGGCGUUGUGGGCACCUAAUAGCUGCCGAAAUAGCUUUCCAAGGAAGCAGAAGACGGGAGGGGAGGUACUGACAUAGGUCAUAAAGCAUUGGAGUUUCAAAUCCCGCAACCCUGCGGGUGCCGCAUUCCUGAUGGAGCCUUUUGGCCUGUGAUGUUUUAUCCUUACAAUGUGAAUAAUGGCACUGACCGGUGCUUCUGUUGUAGCGUCUUGUAGUCGUGGGUGGUCUUAUGGUUGUGUGUUCUGUCACCAUCUGGGUCCCGGAUGACGGACUGGCCCACCCCCUUGCUCGUCGUUGUGGGGACUCUACACCCAUCCUGGUCAACCGCCCUUGGUAUGACCUGGGCAGAGACAAUGCUAGUUUCAUUGUCACCUCCAUGACCCUUCCUCAUCAGGAUCUUCCGCAUCAGGAUCUUCCUCCUCCCUCCUCAGUCCCUUUCCCUGGUUUCCCCUUGGUUCUCUCCCACCCCUUUCCUUUUGGGGGAACACCUGUCCAAGACAGGGCUUGUUUUUGCACUUAUCUCAAAUUUGAAGAGAUUGCUGACGCCCGAGAGCCUCGCUUUUUCAUUCUUCUUUCCCUGCCGAGCAGGUGAGACGGAAUCAUGUCUCAAUUGCUUGUUGUCCAUAAACCUCCAGUAUUUUCUCUGCCUCGUUUUUAAGAGAGAAGCAAUGGAGAGACAUUGUUCUUUGGCUUGGGUGUCUAGGCUCUGGCUUUCCAGCCCAGCCUCUCUCCCUUUGCUCUUCCUCCUGCCUCUCUCAGCCAUCCUAAGGGAGCCGCCUCUGGGCUCCAGUGCAUGCUUUUCAGGAGAGAGGUGUGCAGUGUUCUUGUAGACCCAGUGGUCCCCCCUGAGUGAACGGAAAAGUAUUAUGUGUUUCAUAGCAGCCAUGAUUCCCUUGAUAGGUGUUUGGGUAUUUUUUGAUGUGCUCUGUGUAUGUGUGCACGCAUGCGUGUGAGAAUGUGUGUGUGUGUGUGUGUGUGUGUGUGUGUGUGUGUGUGUACACAUACAAAUACAUGUGUAUAUUCCUUGUGAAGAAGCUUUACUGAAUGUGUUCUGGUUUUGAGGUUUAGUAGUAGUAGCUAGCUGUAGUAGGUCCACUGCAGUUUUUAUUUAGCAUGGGGAUUGCAGAGUGACCAGCACAGUGGACUCCACGGUGGUUCAGACAAGACCCAGGGAGCAGUGGCCAUCAUCCUCCCGCCAGGAGCCCCUUCGUUUGUGCACGUAGACUGUCCACUAGGAAGAAUACACAGGAAGACUUGGUGACUGGGUACUUGUUCUGUUUUCUCUGCGCUUCAGUAACAAGUGUUGGCAAAUGAGACUUUCUCCUGGCCCCUGCCCACUGGGGAUCAGCAUGGUUGUUCUUCCAGUCGGAAAUGUCCUCUUGUGUACGAGUGAGGGUGAUGGGCCAGGCACAGAACUGGAAGCAAGCAUCUGGGGAGUGGGACUUCAAGGCCACACUUGGGAAACACUUGGACUGCUGUUGUAAAGCUUUUUUUUUUUCCUGGUGUGUUCGUUCUACAGCUGUUUGAAAUGUUUAAUAAAGCUUUAUAAACUUUACUUCGUGAUUUUAUGUGGCUGCAGUCCAUUUGGGUCAUGGUGUUGGAUUUCUGAGUUGGUGGGGGGCAGGGUAAAAUACUCGGCUGAGUCCUUGGCGCCAGAGCACCUUAGCUAGAGAAUUUGAUCUCUUCUGUGGCGAGCAGAUGGUGGUGUUGGGGGAGGGGCAGGGGGCAGUCCAGGCGGCAAACAGGAGGGAGUCUGAAAGUUUUCAGAGAUGAGACAUUUGCACUUCUCAGCUCCCAUGGCUUCCCGCCUGAAACUGUUUGCUCCAUAGAAGACUUUAGUAAUGGAUCCCUUGAUAAACAACUUGGGACAGCUGGGGCUCUCUCUAAUCAAGGAUUUUUAUGGUGCUGCUUUUGAAGUAAAAAUAAGUGAAACUCCUCAUGGCAUUUCACCUGGAGAAAUAAAUAAGGCUUGCCAUCCACCCGGCACAUCUUAGUGAUAGCUAGAAGCACGAGGGGAUAUAGUCCUCUGCUGCAGACGUACGUGUGUUAACUGUGGCUGUGACCUGGGACACUCAGUUGUGGCAGCAUGUCACCACCCUGUGCUGGGCAUCACCUCCAAGUCUCCUCCCUCUCAAAAUGCAGAAUAGGAGCACUGCCUGAGAAAUGGGGAGCUGUCAUGAGGGUUGCUAAGAUAAUGCUUGAGGAUGGUUUGGUGAUGUUAGGGAAGUUCAUGGUGACCUGCCUAGACUUUUCCUUUGUUGUGGGAAAACUGGAUUUACCUCUGCUCUUCUGCCUUUUUUUUUUUUUUUUUUGCAUUCCUGGCCCAUACUGCUGGCCCAUGCUUUCCUCGUCUUGAUUAUAACUUUCCAAAGAGCCAAGUGUAGUGGUUCACACCUAUAAUCCUAGCACUUAGGAAGCUGAGGCAGGAGGAUUGCCAGCCUAGGCUACAGAGUGAGAACCUAUCUAAUACAAAACAAAAUCAAAUGACCAAAGAUGUGUCUGUUUUAGAAGGGUUUUCUUUGAAAAUGGGCAGUGAUCAUUCUUGGGACGGCUGUCUGCUUCGGUGUUGCUCGUACCUCUUGAGGUCUUUACUGUGCGUAGCUGUUCGGGAUUCUGCAGAGCCGGACAAGCUGAGGAGCUGGGCGUAGGGAAAGGCCAGUUUGUUCAACAAGCACAGAGACCCUGUACAAGGCUUGCUGGGGAUUUCAGGACACACAGGCCUGACACUCCAGGACCUCAUGAUUCUAGCCUAGUGGGGAGACUUAGCAAAACAGACAACUGCAGAUUCCAAAAACAAAACAAACAGACGGAGGCUUUUGUGUCCCUCUCCUGUGGAGGCACCUGGAUUGGAAAUGAAGCCAAGAUCAUUGCUUAUUUUGCUCUCCGUUGGAAAGCAGCUUUCUGUCCUAGAUCUUGUGCUCGAGAGUCACGUAUAGGCUUUUCCCUCCAAGAGAUUUGUGGUCCUUUCAGUAGGGUGCUGAUAGCCCAUCCUUCUCAGGGUGCUUGCCACCUGAGGGUUCUGUCUGCCCACAGGGUUCCCUACAUCACCUAGGAUGCUAUCCCUCUUCCUGAACUAUCUUUCAGGAAAACAAAAAGAAGACACUUCCUGUGCAGAAGGGCCCAGGUCUUCGAGGGCCCCACACUGUACAGAAUUCUGUUGCCACUGGGACUCUUUGAGAAGGUGUCCUGCUUCCGCUGUCAGUUCCUGAUCAAAAAAAAAUGUGGUCUUUGGAACAAAUACAGUUCUCCCAGCCCUGGUGAUCUGGGAGUCUUUACUCUUUGAAUCCUAGGCUGAUGGGAGAGCCCAGCCGAGGAAGGUGGCUGGACUGAGUUGGCGACAGAGUACUUGGGAGUUGCCUGCAUAUGCCUUGAUCAGUGUGCCAUGUGUGCCCAGACCCUACCUGUGGUGGGGAACUUCAUUUCUUCCUUCUCUGUGCUGAGAGCUUGUCUACAGCCCAUCCAUCAUUCAGCUGUCAUGCAUACUGUUUCUGAGCUAUGGCAGAGUUCCUUUAGCAACUGAGUCCCUGGAGGGCAUGGCCCAUGAGUCCUGCUCAGGAGACCUGCCCUACUAUUCUCCAGUUUUUGUCAGUCUCAUGUGGUGAGACCCUGGGACCACAGUGGACAGUUUCCACUGUCACAGUGUCCUCCAGACUAAAGAAAAAGGGGAGAGUAUUUACUGGUCAAGUCAUCCUAGAGACCCAUGGCUAGGCACUGUGGCAGGGUUCUUAGGGUCUCAGGAAGGAGCUGAUGCAGACUAGGACUGGCUUUCAGACCUGGAGAUCAAAUGUGAUUGUUUGAGCAGUGAAGUAAUACAUGAGAUGUUGCUUGUCACCAUCUAAUCCAGCAUCUUGCCUACAGAUAGAGACUGAACUGCAAAGUAAAAUGAAGGACCACUAGUAUCUGGCUGCCUUAGAAACAGACCCCAGAAAGCUUCUGGGGAAAAAUGUCAGUCUGUUUAAACCUAGAACAGUGACAAUUAGGGGGCACUAAGGGAGGGUUUUAAAGCUGAAUUGCUGCUAGCAAGCCCCCAAAACCGUCCUGAGAGUUCCAGUUGCCAGCUGACGAAGAGCCAUCACAGUAAGCAGUUUGUGAGUUAGGCUUCGUCCGUCCCGAAGGGGUGUGUAGCUCACUGGGAGUAAGGAGAAAGGGCUCCGAAGUGGUCCUGGUGAGUUCAGCGUGGCAGUACCGGGUGAACAGGUAUGUUGGAACCAGCAUUGUCCAUCUGGGUCAGGCCAAGCCACAUAGCUGGAGGGUCCAUAGCAGCCUGUCUCUUUGGGGAAUCUAGGAAAGGGACUCAAAUACUAGGGCCAGGAGUGGACGAGAAGGCUAAAAAUCCUGCUAGGAGGAGUCAAGGAGCCCUGGGUCUUAUGCUGGCCUUUGUGACUUGCACCUGUCCACAUCCCCCAACCCCAGCCGUAGUUUCCUCCCCUUAAAGUGGAGGCCAUUAGCAUCAGUCUCAGUAGUCUCCGAUGGCACUCCUUCGUCAGUGGGAGGGCACUCCUUGUCUCUGACUAGGCUCUGUCUCCUCCGAGCAGCCAGUGCAGGGGCAUGUGUGAGGUGCCUUGUUGGAUCUGCUUAAACAAGACCCUCCUAAAGACAAAUCUCUGGGUAGUUUUGGCCUCUCACUUGCCCUGGGCAGUUGUAGAGAGCACAUACUUGGACAACUUGCCCAUGCUGCCAUUCCCCUGUCCCAUGCUAGUGGUGACAGCCUUCCAAAAAAAGGCAGCGAGACACAGAAGAUUGUAGGGUCUUGGGCUUGAUUCCCCACCAUUUGGCAUGUGACUUUGUUCUUCACUGUUCAUGUUCCUUGAGGCCUGUUGCCCCAUUUAUUUAUUAGUUAAGGAAGAAGUCUUUACCAUUUCCAGAACCAUCUCCUGUGAGACAUUGGUGACCUUUACCCUUGUUACUUUAGUUUAAAAAAAAAAAAUGCUGGCUAAAAGUUGUUAAGGCAAUGAAGGAUUUAAUCAAAGGAUUUUGCACUAGAGGAAUCAACUUGAGUUUUACUUCUGCGUGCAGAAGUGCCAAGGCAGAUGUGGAAGGGCCCGUGAGGGAGGAGACAGACAAAACAUUCCAGCAGUUCCCGGGUUCCCACGCCUUAGCUGCAUCAUCGAGGUCCUGCAUGACCCUUAAUCCUAGGGACUUUGUCACUUGACCAGUCACAGAACCUGCCUGACCAGGCCCGGCACAGUACCUGUUGGUCUGUGGCUUUAGGGGUAAAUAGGUGGUGGCCCAAGUCAGUCAGUGCUAAACUCCUAAAGGCACUAGGUGACUGGUCUUUCCUCGAAGGCAGAAAAUCACCUCCCAAGACUCCUCUUGGCAGCUCUGAAGUGACAAGGAUUAUUUUCCAGACUAGUCGUUUGAGAAGAACCUCAAAAAGCACACCGCUUGGCAUCCCUUUCUGUACAGGAGAGCCUAUGAGGCAAGCACCUGGCAGGACGGAGGUAGCGGAUUCCUGAUUAAAUCCUCAUCUCCCUGCCCUGUGUUUUGCCUUCAUGUACGUAGUGCACCAUGUGUGUGCCUGGUGCCCAUGGAGGCCAGAAGACAGCACUGGAUCCCCUGGAACUAGAGUUACAGACAAUUGUGAGCUGUCAUGUGGGUAUCAGGAACCGAACCCAAGUCCUCUGCAAAAGCAGCUACUGCUGUUAACUGCUGAGCCAUCGCUCCAACCAACCCUUGUACUGUUUUCAAUCGAGAUUAGCUUAGAUAGGUAAAGUCCUCAUCCUGAUCUCCCCAGUGAGAAUGCUUCUCCACUGACUUGCCGGAGUUACCACCACUCACCAGGCCUGUCCCCCAUCUGCAGAGGGAGGCCCCUGAACUAGGUUCUCCCGAGUUCCUUUUCAGUGCUAACAUCACAUCUUCAGCGGUGACAGUGCUGAUGGGGAAUGGAGACCCCAGACUUGUCACCUCCACAUUUGGAACAUGGAGGGAUUGAAAUAGCUGUAGCCCCAAGAAGGCGAACUUGCCAGGAACUGGCUGAGAUGAUUCUGCUGCUUGUGGUGAAAUGUCUUGGCAGACCAUUCAGGUAGGUUGGUACAGGCGAGGGAGAGGGUGGGAUUGACACUCUUUCGGCCCCUGAGUAAUGUUUCCUUGCAGGAUUGGAUGCCUACAGACUGGUGGAUGCCAACUAGAUGGAUCAAUCCACAGUGGCAAAGUAGAGCUGGAGUCCCACGGACAGCAAGCUUGCUGAACAUCUCUCUCAGUCCCGCCCGACUUUCCAACCAGACCCUGUGACUCGUCUCUUCAGGCUGCUGAUCACUGUGUGUUUUUGUGAGCCAAGGCUGUGUUUUAAUGAGCAAGGCUUUGAAAAGUGUCUUAAUACCUGAUACGGACAAGUACUUGGAACUGUUGGGCCACAGGGAAGACACGUUCUGAAUUCAGAUAAAAACAGCUACAGUCUCCUGCCAGAACCUCUCCAACUUUAACAUCUUACCAGUUGGAUGGGUAAAAAGACUGUCUCGGGUUAGUGUGCCCUGCCAUGCCACAGCUGAAGCUUUUGUUUACCUUCAUUCCUAGUUCCCUCUCUGGAUUGUGUGGCCAAGUCCUUCCUGCUUCUCUCCCUCUGCCUCUGCCUCUCCCUCCCUUUUUUUCCCUCCUCUUUCCCGUCUCUCUCUCUCUUCCAUUAUUUGAGACAAGGUCUCACUAGGUACCCCAUCCUAGCUUCAGAUUCAGGGUCCUCCAACCUCAGUCUCACUCAGCACUGGGAUUAUAGGUAUGAUACCACAUCUUGCCUAUUUCUUCUCUUUCUUUCUUUCAAGAUAUUUUAUCUUUCAUUGGUUUCUGGUUCUUUAUUUCAUGCAUUUUAUAUACUAAUGCUUUGUCAUUAGUGACAAGUAUUUUUCUACAUUGUAGUUCUUUUGCCAUUUAGUUGAAUUGUUUUUAGAAAAAAAUUAAAGUUUUGAUACAGUCAUCUGUUGGUUUUACUUUUACAUCUUCUUUUGGCAACCUUAUGAAGCCUUCUUUAGCAGGGCAGUGAUGGCACACACCUUUAACCCCAGCACUUGGGAGGCAGAGGCAGGCAGAUCCCUGAGAGUUCAAGGCCAGCCUGGUCUACAAAGUGAGUUCUAGGACAGCCAAGGCUACACAGUGAAACCCUGUCUUUAAAAAAACAAAAAAGAAGAGGCCUUCUUUUAUAUUGAUUUCAAGGCAUUUUUCCUGUAUUUUCUUCUCUGGCAUUUAUAGUUUACAUGUAUACGUUUAUAUAUAGUUUGUAAAUCUGUGUUUAUGUCAUGUAUAAGGAAUAAAUUCCGUAUUCAGGAAUCUUAUCAUCUAAUGUCAUCACUCUACUCUUUUGUAGAAUGUCGAUGGUAUCAUCUAAGCCUGCUCCCUUUACCUGGUACCAGCCCACUGGCCGGAUAAUUGUGAGGCCGUCCCUGGUCUUCUGCCUGUCUGCUGCCAGGCUUGCUGCUGGACUGUGGUAAGAGCAGGCCAACUCACCCUCUCCACUGUGCAGAGCUGCUUUGCACCUUAGUCCUACCAUACGAAUUUUAAAUUUAUCCAUUUCCAAGAGAACUUUUGUUGGAGUUACACUGAACUCACAGAUAAGCCUGAGGGAAAUCAGUCUCUCUUUCGUGUGUGCUCGAUGCACCCUCCUAGCCCAGGGCAUCUUGUCCCUCUGGAGAAGAUGGCUGCUUUCUCUGGGUCAUCUUGCUUUUUGUUCCUUGAUGGAUUUAAUCCUCAGUCCUCUUGCAGGGUUUUCCUGCAGCUCUGGAUGGCGGGUCCCCUCUGCUCCUGCUUGCUUGACCCAUGCUCUCCAUCUCCACCACUCACUAAUCAGCGAGCUUGCUCUGCAGACACACAGAGUCAACGUUCUUCCUCCCUGGGCACAAACACGCGAGCACCGCCGAACACAGAGCUGGCAUAAUUAGCUGAAAACAAAUUAGAAUCUUUCCAAAUUACACUUUAAUUAAGCAAGCAAAGCCUGAAUACAUUCUCCCUUUUAGAGGUGGCAUGGCGUGCACCCAGCUGCUGUCUCUGCCACCUGAGACUGGGCCCUUCUCCUCCAGGAAGCCUCUGUGCAGAGCUUCAGGGAUGUCUUUUCAGAAUCACAUACAUCUUAGCGGUGGUGAGGGGAUGUGGAACGGAUGUGGCCCAGUCAUGGGUGUUAGGCUGAACUUGUCUCAUUUACUGUCUACCUGGGUCAUAUUCACCUGUGUUCUGUUUGCCUUCCAAACACCACGAUCCUGAAGUUCCGGUUUUUCCUCAGUCAGAAAGAGCACACAGAACUCCAAGGCACAGGCUCCAGAAACACUCUCCAGGCCAGGGUAUCCACUGUUUGAGUUUUUGGUUGAUUUUGAUUUUUGAAACAAGAUUUCAUGUAGCCCAGGCUGGCCUCAAACUCACUGUAUAACCAAGGAUGACCUUGAACUCUAAUCUCACUGCUUCCCUCUCCAAUUGUUAGAGUACAGGCCGCUACAUCCAGUCAGAUUUAGACUCUUACUUUGCCUUCUGAAGGCCUUCCCUUCACCAGCCUUACAAAUAUUUUUCCACUGAAGACUUCCUGCUGCUUUCUUACAUUUGUAUCACAUGAUUGUUUUCCAGCUCUCACAUCUAACACAUCACUGCAGGCGAAGUUUAUUAGAGUGUGGUGGUAUUGGUGUUUAGUUUGAUACAUUUUAAAAUGGAUGACUAAGUUUUCCAAUACAAUGUACUGGCCAUGCUGUCCUCCCCUCCAGUGACUCUGCCUCGCUCCCAGCUGUGUCCAGCACGGCUCUUCCUCUCCAGCCAUCCGUUUGCUCCCUGGAGUUGCUUUGAUAACAGCCAGAGCAAUCCACUCUGUUGGUUUUGUGGCCUCAUCUUGGUCUUGUAUGUUGUCAUACAGUUUACAUUUUUGAACCAGCUGCUCAAGCUUUAAAACCUUGCUGGGAUUUUUAGGGGAUCUGUGGAUGAAUUUGAGGGAAAUGGGCAUCUUUAUCUUGUAGCACAUACGGUACCUCCCAGUUCCAGGCAUCUUCCCGCCUUUUAGAAGUUUGGUGUUUUUCCUCUGGUGACAGACAGUCUUGCCUAUUUCUUGGUUUAUUCUUAGGUACUUAAGGUUUGCUAGCAGCCCUCUGCUCCUGCUUGCUUGACCCAUGCUCUCCAUCUCCACCACUCACUAAUCAGCGAGCUUGCUCUGCAGACACACAGAGUCAACGUUCUUCCUCCCUGGGCACAAACACGCGAGCACCGCCGAACACAGAGCUGGCAUAAUUAGCUGAAAACAAAUUAGAAUCUUUCCAAAUUACACUUUAAUUAAGCAAGCAAAGCCUGAAUACAUUCUCCCUUUUAGAGGUGGAAUGGCGUGCACCCAGCUGCUGUCACCUCUACCAAAGUCCUAUAUCCCACCUCCCCCUCCCCCACAGCUUUGUGCAUCUGUUUCUAGGGCAUGCAUGAAAUCCAUGCGGGUGCUUUGAAGGAGUCCACUGUGUUGAGAGCUUGCCGGAGGCUGCAUCUUGACGCGCUCUAGUAUCUUUACAACACAGCCAUGCAGAUUCCGAAAGCUCUUGUCCUCUAACACAGUGGAGCAUGUAUUCCUCAGUUCUCACAUUCUCCAUCUCCAGGCUCCACCAACAUUUAGUUGAUUCUUUGUCUCUGUUCUGUUGUGAGCAUCCUUUUCUUGGCACUGAUGAAGAGGUAGGAUGCUGGGUCUGCACGUUUUCAAUUUUAGCAGACUUCACCGGUGCCCUCCAUGGUCUCUGUACCAUGCAAGCAUCUAGCCAGAGGCUGACUUUAAUCCCCACACCGGGAGCAGUUGUCAGUGUUUGCCGAUCGGAUGGGUGAAAAAGUUAAAUCCCUUUUUAAAUUUGUAUUUUCCUGUUUGCCAGUGAGGUUUUCGCGUGUACAUUGGGCAUUUUUAUUAUUCCUGCCGCUCUGAACUGCCUGUUUUUGCAUUAAGCUCUUCAUUGACCUGUACAAUGUCCUGAUGUAAUCUGGAUAGUAAGCUUUUGUGCAUUUUGGACAAAUAUUUUUUUCUGGCUUUCAGCUCUUUGUAAACUCCUGUGUUAGACAGAAGUUACCAAUUUCGAUCUAAUGCAUUUCCUCAGUCGCCUUUAUUCCUUUUUGAAUAUAUAUCAUGUUUGGUUUAAAUGGACCUUUUAUUCUUUUCUAAUGGUUUCACAGUUUUUGUUCUUGGCUCUUUCUUGUAUCUGGAAUGUAUUUCUGAUUGGAUUGAGACAGCAUCUAACCUUUCUCAAAAUGGACAGCCAAUUAUCGGAACACAAUAGAAUGAUCGGCUUGUUCAUCCUUUCUCUGCCGCUCUGAUGGGAUGCUUCCUCUAGACUGAGGAGGCCCCAUUGCUAGGGGGCUGCGGGGGCCCCUGUGAUUUUUUUUGGGGGGGGGGUUAUUUUUUUUUAACUAAUCUGUUUAUUCCUGUCAGCACAAGACUUUAAUUUGCCAUUGCUUUUUACCACCUUUUGAUAUCUGUUAAGUAAAAUGCCACAUUUCACCGUACUCCCUUACAGCUGUCUUAGUUCACUCCUCCACACGGAUUUUAAAAGCCGCUUGUCAAAUACUGUGAAUGCCGAGAUUAAUCGGGGGAAACUGACAUCAGUACAAUGCUGUGCCGUUCACUGCAGGGACGAGGCAGAACUCUGUUUGUCCAUCAUGUCUUCCACACACCCAGCUUUCUCCUGAGAAACUUGUGGCUUUCCUCUCGGGUUUCUUUCUUUGAUUUCCAUUAGUGUUGUGAAUGAGUCUUCACUGCCGCCUCCCCUGUUUUGUUUGGCUUUUGUUUGCUACAUUUCUUUUUAAUCUCCUUUCUAAUGGCUGCACUUCAUUCACAGACACACACAAAGUAAAUGUUCUUCCUCCCUGGGCACAAACACGCAAGCACAGCCGAGCACAGAGCCAGCAUAAUUGGCUGAAAAUGAAUGGGAAUUUUUUCAAAUUAAAGUUUAAUGACACAAGCGAACAUGAAUACAUCCUCCUUUUUAAGAACCAGAGCACCGCUGCUAGAGCCGGAGUCCCUUCUGGCCACCUGCUUCCAUCCCAUUCCCUUCCUCUUCCCCAGGGGCAGCCACCGUGAUGGCUUGGUGUGGACUUUUCUAAAAACUUGUAAAUGUACCUGCGCACCCACGGGAAACAGAGAACUGUGUCCACACUCAGUUUUUACACUGAGGGACUGUUAUUAAGGCUGCAGAAUGGGGUGACAGGAUUGCCACACGUCCUGAUGUGGCAGUGGGGGACGGCGGGAAGACUGAGCAGCUGUGGACACCUGGAGGAACGAGGAAGGAAGGGGCGGCUAGCUCCCAUCCGUACCAGUCAGAGAUCACAGAUAGAACUGUAAACCGUGUGUGGGCGUGGGGCUGUCAGGAGUGGUUUCCAAAGCCCCAAGCUUAGUCUGUCAGUGGGACAUAGAAGCCCUACAGAUAAGAAAGGGGGGACAGCAGCUGCAGUCGUGAGACCUGUGAACCCCUUUCAGUGGCAUGGGACUUAGAAGGGCAGCUUCAGGGCCCCGCUGCUUCGCUCCCUCGCCAGAGAUGUGCUGGCGCCUUUCCUGGCCUUCCCCUUCCCUUUCUGUCUAGGUGCUGCUGGGUGCAAACAUGAAACUUGGAACUCUGGCAGCCAUCCUGUGAUCAGGAGGGAACGAGACUGCUGACUCUGAGCCAGCCUACCUGCAACCACUGACUUCUGAAUUGUUCACACUUGAAGAAAUGCUCUUGCUGUUAGCUCCUCUUAGAUGUGAUAUUAUGUUCUGUCGAAAGCACCUUCCUAACAGGAAGUUUUACAACUGGGGGUGGGGUGGGGGGCAGCCUUAAAGAGUGGAGUCAUUCACUGGGUGAGAAUCUGGAGGUUUCCCCCUCAUGUCCCUGCUGGCCAGCCCUCUUCCUCAGGCUUUCUGCUUCGCCCUUCAUGACAAUGAUGGAUUUGGUGGGUACCAGUGUUUCACGUCUCUCAACAUCAUGACCUUAAAGGCACCAUGGUGAUCCCAAUGCUUGGGAGACUAAGGCAGGAUGAUUGUGAGCUGGAGACCAAUGUGGGUUCCAUAGUGAGACUCCUUUAAAAAAAAGGGGGGGGGCAUGGACUUGGGAGUGCAGGAGUCUAACAGUCUAUACAGGGUCCUCUCACUGUGCCCUCUGACCAUGCCCUUCAGCAGUCCCCCCUGUGAACCCAUAGCAGUGCCCACCUCAGCAUGUCACAGGUCCAAAGAGACUGCCUGAAAAAAUGCUCAACUCAGGGAUGGCACCAAGCAGGUAUGAGUCCCACAGUUCGGAGCCAGUGCUCCCAGGAAGCAGCUCAAAUCAGGACCCACCCCUGGCUGUCAGUGAUGGUCAGUAAAGGCAGGCUACAUAAUAGACGAUGAAUCCCAGGGUGGAUGGAGAAGAGGUGGAGGCCCAGAGCCGGCUGCACAGAGGGAGGAUGGAAGGCAGAAGAUGGAGCCUCCCCAAAGCAUGCUGCCUUCUUCAAGUUCACCACCCACCUCUGCCCCUUUCUGCUCCAGAGCACACACUUAGCUGUAGUGGGUAGCCAUCCCAGCUCUGACCUGGAAGUCCCAACCCCCACUGAGGCUUCGGUAGCUGUCACUCCUACAAGGCGGGCCGAGAGAGGACCCUGAAGACCCGAGAUCCGGAUGCGCCGCUCUCUUGGUUCCUGGACCCUGGACACUGGAGGUAGACCGAGCAGAGUUCUCCAGAGAACACCGCUGGACUGCGCUACACCUUUCCCAGACCCUGUUACCUAUCCCUUCACUUGUAAGUUACCCCACAAAAUAAACCUCCCUUUUAACUACGUGGAGUGGCCUUAAUAAUUUCACCAAUACUUAGCUGCUUCCAAGAAAACAUCCAGAGUUGCCCCAAAUAUCCUCCUUCCACUUCCAGUUCCUUCCCACCACACCUGCCUUUGUCCCCACGGCCCAUCGGCUCAUCCGUGAGCAUACACACCUGGCGAAGUUACCUCCACCAGUGACUACUGUUCCCCUGAACUGAGGCAUCCCUGCUAAAUCCUCAUCCUGACCAUAGGCAGCCCUCACCCACUACCCUUCUGAUUGCUUACUUGCUGGGAGAACAUCCAUCCCCUCACCAUCUUCUGUCAGGGCCCUUGGUCUCACCAGUCCAUGCUAGGAGCCUUUGGUCGUCAUCUGUUGGUCCUUCCCUGAGAAGAGCUACAUAAGUUCCUCAUGUCUCUGUAGGAUUCCUGUCCCACUGGUUCAAACAUUUCCAUUUAGGCAGAAAGAGGUUGCCUGUGUGCUUCCCUUUUAAAAUUAAUUGGAUUAACCUGAGGUAGCAUUCUUCAGGAGCCACCCACCUUGGUUUUUGAUAGAGUCUCAUUGAGACCCAGAGCUCACCAAUUAGGUGAGGCCAACUGGCUAGUGAGCCAGCAGGAUCUACCUGUCUCCACCUCCCCGGCACUGGAAUUACAAACCAGUGCUACCUUGCCCAACCUUUGAGGUGGGCGCUGGGGAUCCAGCUCAGGCCUUCAAGUCUGCAGAAUGCACCUUGCUGACUGAGCAUCUCCAUGGCUCCGGUGCCUUUGAUUUCCUCCUAACGCCCAUCCACUAACCAGAUGCCUUCCCUGCUGUGGGUUUCAAAAGACUUGGGCAUUCCUGUGACACCCAUGUCCUCUCCCAAGGUCUGCUCAAGUCAGGAGCGAGUGUCAGACCUCACUGUCCAGUCUGUAGAGGUGACCACUGUCUCCCCUGCCCACCUUAUAUGUGCAUACAUCCACCAUCGAGAAAAUGACUCUCCUUGCUGAAUUAGGCUGGUCUUAGUGGCCUUUUUGGCCAACACAGUGUGGCAGAAAGAAUGUCCUGGGGUUGGUGACACGGGGCCAGAAGAAGCAGCUUGAUUUUGGAGCCCACCUGGUGCAGGGGAGCUGUGUGCUGUGAGACGUCAGACCACGGUGCAGCCAUGCGGAGGGAACGCAGAUGUGCCUGGUCCUGCUGAGCCUCUGGAGCACGAAGCGCUCUCAAGCCUUAAGAGGACCGCAGCCCUGCUGCUGUGUCGUUACCACUGCCUCUGCUCAGCUGUGGAAGCCCCGGAGCCUUGAGACAGAAGUUACACCUCCAUGCUGUGGGAGUUUGGGGUAGCUUAGUACAUACAAAAACAGAACCAAAAAAAAAAAAAAAAAAUUACAAGGAGCAGGCUGACCAUCAAGUAAUAUAUAAAAUAGCACUACACUGCACAGCACCCAAGUAGACCAUUACAAUACGAUAUGGGAACUGCAACAGUAGAAUGUUUGUAUGGCACAGAACAUUCCAGAAGAGGUUAGAACAUUGCAGAUAGGUAUAAGGUAAAGGGACUGGAAGGACACUGUAGGCAGAGGAACAAGAGAACUUGGGAGACUACCAUGGUUCUGGAAAGUGGGAAGAAGAGAAAGUGAAAUGUGUGGGACUAAAAGGGCAGAGCCCAGGUACUUGAGGGCUUCAUGGCACCAUGUGAAGACAUCUGGUCACUAUCCUACAGUCAGUGGGCCCGUGAAGGGUUUCACUCCAUAGUGACGGGUCUGUGAUUUUGGAAGAUCACUGUGGUGGCAGAUGGGAACACCACAUUUGAAGAUGACAGUCUCUAGACUUCAAGUGUGGUA